rnacentral:rRNA from 1 species
ACUCCUACGGGAGGCAGCAGUGGGGAAUAUUGCACAAUGGGCGCAAGCCUGAUGCAGCCAUGCCGCGUGUAUGAAGAAGGCCUUCGGGUUGUAAAGUACUUUCAGCAGUGAGGAAGGUGGGUGUGUUAAUAGCAUGCUCAUUUGACGUUAGCUGCAGAAGAAGCACCGGCUAACUCCGUGCCAGCAGCCGCGGUAAUACGGAGGGUGCGAGCGUUGUCCGGAUUUAUUGGGCGUAAAGGGCUCGUAGGUGGUUGAUCGCGUCGGAAGUGUAAUCUUGGGGCUUAACCCUGACGUGCUUUCGAUACGGGUUGACUUGAGGAAGGUAGGGGAGAAUGGAAUUCCUGGUGGAGCGGUGGAAUGCGCAGAUAUCAGGAGGAACACCAGUGGCGAAGGCGGUUCUCUGGGCCUUUCCUGACGCUGAGGAGCGAAAGCGUGGGGAGCGAACAGGCUUAGAUACCCUGGUAGCUACGAG